rnacentral:rRNA from 1 species
GAUGAACGCUGGCGGCGUGCCUAAUACAUGCAAGUCGAGCGAACAGAUGAGGAGCUUGCUCCUCUGACGUUAGCGGCGGACGGGUGAGUAACACGUGGAUAACCUACCUAUAAGACUGGGAUAACUUCGGGAAACCGUAGCUAAUACCGGAUAAUAUAUUGAACCGCAUGGUUCAAUAGUGAAAGACGGUCUUGCUGUCACUUAUAGAUGGAUCCGCGCCGCAUUAGCUAGUUGGUAAGGUAACGGCUUACCAAGGCAACGAUGCGUAGCCGACCUGAGAGGGUGAUCGGCCACACUGGAACUGAGACACGGUCCAGACUCCUACGGGAGGCAGCAGUAGGGAAUCUUCCGCAAUGGGCGAAAGCCUGACGGAGCAACGCCGCGUGAGUGAUGAAGGUCUUCGGAUCGUAAAACUCUGUUAUUAGGGAAGAACAAAUGUGUAAGUAACUAUGCACGUCUUGACGGUACCUAAUCAGAAAGCCACGGCUAACUACGUG